ACUGCUAUCGGAUUGAUACUAAGCCAUGCGAGUCAUUGUAGCAAUACAAGGCAGACGGCUCAGUAACGCGUAGUCAAUCUACCCUAUGGACGGGAAUAACCUCGGGAAACUGAGAAUAAUGCCCGAUAGAACAUUAUGCCUGGAAUGGUUUAUGUUUCAAAUGAUUUAUCGCCAUAGGAUGGGACUGCGGCCUAUCAAGUUUGUUGGUGAGGUAAUGGCCCCACCAAGACUAUUACAGGUACNNGCUCUGAGGAGGAGUACCCCCGGAGAUGGGUACUGAAGACACCGGACCCAGGCCCUAUGGGGCGCAGCAGGCCGAGAAAUCUUUGCCAUGUGCGAAAGCACGACCAAGGUUAAUCCGAGUGGUUUCUGCCUACAAGAAACCCCUUUUCGUCNGUCCUAGAAACACUUCCUUAACCGAAUAAGGGGUGGGCAAAGUUCUGGUGUCACCGCCGGCGGGGUAAUACCCAACUCAACUCCUCACAAGGGUUAUUNGG
rnacentral:rRNA from 1 species